UCUUCCUCAGCAAAAAAAAAGAAGAAGAAGAAGAAGAAGAGCUUGGAAAAGCUCCUUCUUCCCAUUCUUUCUUCAGCCUAAAGCCCACUUGCCCAGGCAGGCUCUCAGAGGGACCACGCCUAGGAAGAGUCUUUGCCUCCCUCCUUCUCCUUGAAGAUUACAAAUCUGUAAUCUUAAAAUUUAUCACCCAAACAGGUCAUUUUGAGAGUGAAAGGGGCAUUACCAAUAAUUUCCUUGAGUCAAUAGGCAUAAACCGAGACUGCCUGUGGCCAACUGGAAUGUCACCCUAAUAAGGAUGGAGGAGGGAAGAAAUGUGACUCAUUCAUGAGGCCUAUCAAUCUCCACCCAGGUAGGUCUGUCCUUUGAGCCUCACGCAUUCUGAGAGAAAAUAGACUCAGAAUUAUGUCAUACAAUCCUGGGCACUACCAAGUCCAAAGGUAACAAAGGACAGAGCCUUUCCAGCUGCCAGACCAGGAAUGCCGUUUAACCUAAGGAGAGGCCUGGCCCCAGCCAGAGGAGUCAAGGUUGUAAUUAUGCAGCGUGAAAGCUUCCUUCCCGUAAUUGUUCUAAUGGGUGUGCAGGCAUGCACGCAAGUGGUGUACCCAGAAGCUUGCAUCUAUAUUUAGCUGCCAUUAGCAUCUCCUCUGUACAACAUUCCUAUCUUAUUAUGCAGGGAGCACCGGCUUUAACUGGCAAGGUAAUCCCAGGAGGCUUAGAAUGGGAAAGAAAUAACUAGUACCUUCCAGUAACCAUCCCACCAUCUUCAGCAAGAUGAAGGCAGCCCUGGCUUUGCUGUCUUCCUGAGCAGGGUCCCAAGAGCUGGCUUAACAUCUAGGAAAAUGAACCUCUGCGUGCAGCGAUGGGAGAAGGAAAAUGCAGUCUAGAAGAUCAUAGGCCGCUUUUCCUUAGGGGCGAUGGAUGAGUUCCAGGCUCCUGUCCUACCCUGGAACAAAUACCUGCUGCUUUCAGAAAUUGAAAGGAUGAGGCUCAAAUCAGGGCAUUAGCUGGGGAGAACCUCAUUAGGAAGCUGAUAUCCUUGUGAGAGAGCAGACUGGGUUGUGAAGGAUGCCAGCUCUCUGGCAGGACAAGAAGCAACAUUUCUUUUAUCCACCUGCAGGAUAAAAGAGUAAGUAUUCGACGAAAUCAUUUAUGCUGAGUAAAUACAAAAUAUCAUCUAGAGUCGCAGGUAAUUAAUAGCUUCUUCAUCCGUAAGCAGAGGCUGCGAUCUGGUGUGUCUCAAAGGACACUCCAGCAGGACAUAUUUCUGUUGUGUGUGUCGUCCCUGGAUUACAUACACCAACCUGUGCUCACACCUGCUGGCUCCCCUCACUCUGGGGGCAAAGGCUGUGACUAUUAGAAAGAUUAGAGCCUGUACAGACAGGUUCUGAUCCCGUGCUGGAGACAAGGUGGCAGUUUAGAAGAGCAGGGACAAUUCAGGAAUCCAGGGACUUUUCCAGGCUGCCCUGACCCUCAGGCUGCAUUCGUCCUUACUAGCAAGAUUUUCCUUUAUUGACCUGAAAACAAUUCCAGCUCAUUUCUUAUACUGCCAGAGAUUUCAUCAACUGGAGAUGCGAGUUGACAAGCGUAGGGAAGGAAAAAGUUUUCCUCAACCUUCUUAGGGGCCCCGGCUGGGUAUGAAAAUUAAAUUGACAAAGAGAGAUGAACAGGAGAAAACACACAAAUUUACUUAAUAUAAGUUUUACGUGACAUGAGAGCCUUCAGGAGGAAAUGAAGACCCGAAGAACAGUUAAUCCUGAGUAUUUUUGUGCUGGGUUUGACGAAGAGUGGACAGUCGUGGAAAAAUAUGAAAAGUCAGAGAGCGUGAGGUGGAGCAGUGAGGUGGGUCCAGUGAGCGAGGCCUGUUUGUUAGGAUUCUUCAGCUUCCCUUCUCUGUGGACAUCCAGAUGCUCCUUUCCUCCGGGUAUAGGGAGGGACCUCUCCCGUGAGGGUUUUGUGACCUGUUUCAAGGGAGAAGGGGAAAAAGUCAGAGUGAACUUUCUGCUUCUGCCAUUUCCUCAAACUCCUUCAGCUUAAAAUAUUUAAUACGCCAAGGUGCCGUAUUUUGGGGUAGCAGGUUCUGAACCCCAUCCUAAGCAUCUUCUUAAAAGUGUGAAAUGUGAAGGACCCAUUCAACACGUGCCCCUAGGAAUGGAUUGUUUAAACACCUUGCUUUGCCCCUCACAUCCGAGCUCAGCUAGGGCUCUAACUGGAGCAUAUCACAAUGCCAUCUCUGAUGGACAAGGACGGAGGCCCGUGACUCCCCGCCCGUCAUCUGAGGCUGCCCCAAAGGUUUGGAACCUUUCCUCCCUAUUCCGAUAGUAAUCAGAUUUCCAGAUUACAGGUAUCCCCUUUCCAACGUAGAAAUGUGAAACCUGCUGGGGUUCAGAUGCGUGAUUUAGAUUCAACGAAUCACAUGCUCCUGCAGGAGACUUGGACUCAGAACUGACUUACAUGGAGAUAGAGACAGGGAACAGGGCAUCGUUUUGUUGGCAUGGAUUGUGGCAGAGGGAGCCCGGUUCCGGAGACAGGAGCCAAGGCAGUAACAUCCUGACUUGGCAGCUUCCGAAUCCUGGUGAGGUGGCAGCUCCCUCGGGGAGCCAGUUCUUCAGUGUGACUUGGGAAGCCGGUUGUCCCUGGAAGCCAGCCUAGGUCCUGCAUCUCCGGCCCUCCUGAUAAUUCUGUGAGCUCUCUAUGCCUUCAAAAAUCCGCUUUGGCUUAAACUAGCUGAAGUGGAUCCUGUUGUCUGCAACCAAGAAUUCCCCGGCUAAUAUAGGUGGAUUGAAGACAGCAGAGGGUGGGGAAAGGAGACGUUCAGGAUGUGAUAGAAGAGUCUAGAAAAAGAUAUGAGAAGUUGGCAAAUAUUCUGAAUAAUGGCUACUAUUUAUUGAGGCCGUACCAUGUGCAUUUCCUAUAACCCUUAUAACAACUCUGUUAGGCAUUAUUAUUUCCAUUUUACAGAUGGGGAAAUAGGCUCAGAAUGGUUAAGGGACCUGCCCAAGGCCACACAGCCUUCAACGGUGAAUCAGGCAUUUGAACCCAGACCCUUUGCACUCAGAGCCCAGGAUCUCUCCACUUUGUUACUCUUCCCAGGCCAGCUCUGCUUGCAGAAGGGAGUGGAAAAUCCUUUCCCCAUUCCUUUUACCCCUCUUGGCUUCCCACUCUCCGAGCCCAGAUGUUCAGCUGGUCUGAGUCACACUACAGUUCACCUAUGUAUGGGCUUAAAAGGUCACAUGGGCAUUCAUCAGUCAGGAGCAGCCCAUACAUUAGAAAACACGGAUAGAGUGGGGAGAAUUCCCAGAACAGAUGACCAACUGCAAAGCAUCCAUCACCACGGGGAGAGGAUUACAGGAGCUCUUUACUUUCUGCGUUCAACAAUUGCGCUAUUUGAAUUUUUUUAAAAAAAGCAAGUGUACUACUGAUGUAAGUAUAUAUCACAAUUAGCACCACGAAAUCAGUGGUUUAAGAGACAUGGAAAGCAACAACACAUAAAUUGUGAUUCCUAUUAGAUGAUGGAACUAUAGGUGAUUUUUAUUUUCUUCCUCAUGCGUUUCUGCAUUUAAACAUGUUUCUCGGGUUGCUUUUAGCUACAAAGAACAGAAGACACUUCCUCAAACUGGAUUGCACAAUGAGGACACUGACAAGUUCACAUGACUGGACGUCUAGCAGAAGGAGGAGGGCCCCAGGUGUGUCUAUCACGUGGGUCACACGAGCCAGACCACGGACGUAGCACUGGGAAGAGUGUUCAGCUUUCAUCAGACAUUAUUUGAUGCAGACUUCUCAAACAUUUAAGGGCUUGGUCAAGAUGAAUGAAGUGGUCUUGAAGGUGACUUGGAUCCCAGCAUUGCAAAUCUGAGGAUGGGGGUAAGAGAAGCCGCUUGGAGGCACCUCGGGGGUUCCUGAGUCCAUAGACGUUCCAGCAUUCCUUUCAGCAAGUUUGAACCAGCUGUGGGGAAACCAGGGGGGCCUUUCAGUUUGUUGUACAUUGCUUAACUGUUUAGAGCAAGAGAUGCAGAAAUUGACAGUGCGUUCAAUGUCCUCCAUCAGAGAAUAAGCUUUCUUUUGUAUUGAGAUCCAAAUUGAGCUAGCAGUCUUUGCUGCUGCGACACAAGAAUAAGAGGAUUCAAGGAAAAAGAAAAGAAAAGAAAAAGAAAGAAAGAAAAAAAAACGCUUCCUAUUAUUUUCACCAAGUUAAGGUUACCUUUCAUUUCAUUCAGCAUUCCAAAACCUGAACUUAAUCCCCAGCUUUCAAAGUUGCGGGGUUCUCUUCCUUCCAUUAUGUCAUGUGCUAGGCACUCAGGAGUUCCAUUGUUAUAAAUCUCAGAACAAUGAACGGAUGGAAGAAUUAAUGGAACAUUAAAAGGUCAUCUGGGUUAUUGCCACUUGCUAUUUAAAGAAUUUAUGAGUCAAGCCAAUUCAACUGCUACACAGCGGCCAUAUGGAAAUAUCUUUUCCAGGUAUGUUCUUCGUUUGCCUGCUCAGCAGAAUGUCUGAGGAUGCACAGGCACCUACAUCCGUCAGGUGUUGACGCACAGCCUUCUCAAGCUGGACACCGCCUGGGCAUUCCGCGUACCUUGUGUGCUGAUGACUGACGAACUUUUCACUAUGACACCUGGACGUACAAACCUUGAAAAUGAUGAACUGAAAGAAGGAACAAAAAGCAGAAAAACUGCGAGUUAAGCAGAGAGAAGUUAAUACAAUGGAAACACCACCAUGAGCGUUAGAGUCAAACAGUGUUAGGUGCAGAUUCUCUGCCCUGCAGGUUACUCAACGCCGUGUGUACCUUGGCGCCCCCAUCUGUAAAACGGGCUCUUAUGAGGAUCAGCGAUGACACAUGUAGAGUGCGUAGUGCCAGCCCUGAUGCACUGGUGUGCAACAAGGAGCUGUUAUUAUCUGUAACUAAAUCAGAGCACCAUAUUUAGUUACAUGGAGAGACGUGCUGUCGCUGGGGUCCACAGUUCUGACUUCUCUGUAAGGAUUAAACAACCAGUCCUUUUGGCCUUGGUUUCGCUGGGUGUGGAAUAAGCUCAGGUUGCCAGCAUCACAGGGGUUCCUGGAGGUCUCCCCGGAGCUGCCAAGAGGCUGGUCCCCAGAGAAGCCCUUUGCGAGCCUGAGCUUGUCCCGAGAGUCAAGCUCUUCUCUAGGUACACGUUGAACAAAGCCCGCCCCCACACAGAGGCCGCCCCUUGGCUGCCAAGGACAGCAACGUCUUUGUUCUCAGGCUCUUUCAGAGCCCAGGGCCUACGAAGUGGACAAUAGGCCUGCCUUGUCCUUCCUUUGGCCUCACUUUCCUUAGAGGCCACAGUGGUUGGGGGGGUCAGGCAAGGAUGCAUGCCCUCGGGGUCCUAGGGGCCCACCCUGUGGGUUUCAGGCAGCUUCUUUUGUACUUCAGGCUGAAACGGUUGGUGCCAAGGAGAGGAGAGCGAGCAGGAGCGUGCCCUUCCCUCGAACAGGACUUCGCGUUCUGACCAACGGUAGAGGGUUGAACGGGCCUGCCAGGAGAUGCAUGCGAGUCCUAACCCCGGGUAGCUGUGCACGCACCCUUAUUUGGAAAUAAGGCCUUUGCAGAUGUAAUUAAGUUGAGGAUCAUGAGAGGAGAUCAUUGCAGAUUUAGGGCCCUAAAUCCAAUGACUGGUGUCCUUAGAGAGAAAAGAGACAGAGUUCUGACACUCAGAGACUAGGGUGAAGACGCAGCCAGCCCUAGGACAAAGGACGCCUGGGGGCCCCAGAAGCUGGAGGAGGUAGGAACGAUCUUCCCCUAGAGCCCGGGAGGGAGCAUGGCUCUGCCCACAUGAAGGUUUUCCUCCAGAACUGUGAGAGAAGAAAUUUCUGUUGUUUUAAACCACCCAAUUUGUGACAAUUUGUUACAGCAGCCCCAGGAAACUCACACGCCAGCCGUGGGUGCUUCCUGAGCCUCUGUGGUAAAGCCUCUUCUCUGCAUUUUGCAAAGUUCAAAGGUGCGUCUCGUCCCAGGGGUACGGCGGAAGGGCGGCAGUCCUUGAUUCAGGGUCAGUGUGGGUGCACGUUUCUGGGGAGCACUAGAAGCCCCUCUAAUGUCCCGGAGGCAGCAGUGGGUCGUGCCUUGGCAAGAGCACAGCACCUGACAGAGGCCACCAGGGGAGGCAGGGCUGGCAGGCACGGGCCCUUGAGGGUUUGUUGUUCAUUCCCACUUCAGCCUUUUAGAGUUGAGUGAGCUUUCUGAACUUGGAGGGUGCCAGAGACCAUUGUGCCCACUAAGCGAGAUGACCAUCUCCGCGUGUGUUCCCUGACCCCUUUAAGUCUGUGAUCCCUUCACGCUACUCAUUACAGAAGAUGAUUUACCAAGAAAGACCCCCAUGGUUUUUCAGUGGGCCUGUGCUUGUAGCCAUUCAAGUGAGGACCUGUCUUAUGAUCAAUAUUCUUCAUACUAUUUCUCUGUUUGGGGGAAAUUUAAGAUGCGAAAAGACUUAUCUAAAUAAAUAGAGGAUGAUGCUGGUAACCAACCAGAAGAGUAGGCAGGAUAAUAAUAACCUGUGCUUACAGAACAUUCUGGAGGCAGAGCCGUGGGAGGCCUGGCCGUGGGAGGUAUUACAUAGAACCUAACCAUUUACAAAGUGUUUUCACAAACAUUUUCUUAUCUCAGCUUAACAACCCUGUGAUAUACAUUUUCUGACACCAAAUCCCAUCAACAUUCAGUUAAAAAAAAAUUUUUUUUUUCCUGUGGAGGAGAAAAAUCCUAAAAGUUGCUCUGGGCUACUGAGAUGGCUCUGUCAGGCACACAGGCUCUGCCAGAGUGGGAAGGGAUGGGAGAUAGAAUUUUCAGUGAGGUGUGAAAUGAGCAGAUGUGUGAUCUUCAGUGGGAGGUCACAGAACAUUCUAGAGGCAGAAUUGUAGGAUGCACCCCAAAUAAGGAAUUGAACCAAAACACUCCUCCCACGGUUAAAAGCAUUUGGGGUGACAGCAGAUUCUGGGGGUCUGACAUGGCCCUCUCUUUCACCCAUGUCAAGGAGCAAGUGGGGGAGCUCUGGGUUCCAGCGACCCCUGUCUGUGUCUUCCCUGUGCCCUCCAGUCUCUGCCCGCAGACCUGAGGGUGGAGGACUUUCUCUUCCAUGUUCAGCCUUGGGAAAAUUGCUUUACUAAUCGGAUUUGGGGUGCCUUGCUUCUUAUCCCUCACUCAGCACCCCCUUGUUAGGUGGCCUUUGGCCUGUCCCUUGUUAGUGCUCCAUCACUUCCAUGAGGCCAACCCCCCCUCCAGCUUGUGUGACCGGCAGUGGAGCAGCCUGGAGACAAAUUGCUGACUUGCUAACCUAAGUCCCAAUCUGGCCUCCAAAAGUGCCACACAGCUGCAUCAGGGUAGGAGAAGCAAGGACUAUAUUUUGUGAAACAAACAAACCAAAAAGAAGUAUGAUUGGGUUGGCUAUUUUUAUUUCUCCGAGCGGGAAGCUAAAAGGCCUUAGGUCAUCCUUUGUCAUCCUAAACCUCAGCGGGUCCGUGCUAUGCUUCCCAGGGCACACUGCAGCAAUUCUCCUAAGUGAGGCUGCUUCCCUGGGUCUGAUGUCCUAGCUUGGUGACACAGGAGACAGAGUGGGGUGAGAGCAUCACCCCCCAAGGAUGCUUCGGCUCAGUCCAUGGGAUGGGGAGACGUGGUUAGUGCACUCAGCAUAAAGGCCUAAUCUAAGGUUCAUCACUUCAACCCAGCCGGUGUUUAACAGGGUUCUGGACAGUGCCAAACGCUGUGAAAGGUAGAAGAAAUGAGCGGCUACGGUCCCAGGACCCAAGCAACUUACAACUCUAUGGGAGAGACAGACCUGAUUCUUCUACCUUCUCAUUUAAGGCAGUAUGUCUUGUAAUGGUGAUGCCAAGUGCAAAGGCAUAUAGAAAAAGAAGAGGCGAAAGGAGAGGCUUCGGGAGGGCCACAGACUGAACAGGCUGCAUUUUCACUUGAAGGAAAAUCUUCUUUUACAUGAUGUCUCUUCCUACACGCCCACGCUUAAUAUGGCGCCUGAAUAAAUUAAGGGGCUGAAUAAAUGUCUGCUGAAUUAACAAAGGAAUGAAUAAAUGAACAUAUAAAGUGAAGAUAGAAAUAAAAUCAUCUUGGACAAAGGAAAGCUGGGGACAAGAUUUAUAGAGGACCUCGGGUGACAGGCUUGGAAACUUGAAUUCUGUCUUCAGUGUAGUUCUUGAGUGAAGGAGUGAGUUUGUGAUUUUGGAAGAGAAUUCUGCCAGCAGCGUGAAGAGUGCCCUGGAAGAAGGAAGACUUUUAGGCAGGGAAACCAAUUAAGAUACGGGGAGCUUCGCCUCUCCAGAUUGAAAUGAAAUAUUUUAGAUGUAUUUAAGGCCAGAUAACUUUUGCAGAUCUGGCUUCUUGGCCCGAAGUUUUCCCAGAUUGGGAAUGAUGCAAUGGUAUCAGCUGAAGGUCACUGGCUGCCUGCCUGGGCUCAAUUAGGAAACUGUGCCUGUAGGGUAACCUACAUUUUCUGUACCUUUCCAGGCUGGAAACUUUGCCAGAUGGCCCAUGUCAGGAGACUCUGUCGUGCCUGGCAAGGCUGUCUUUUACCCUUUUACCAUCAAAUGAGAAAGCAGUUUCUAGAGACCUGACACGUCCCUAUAACUGACUCAAGUGUAAAGCACAAAUGCCAGGGUGAGUAGGGCCACCAGAGAAUCAGAAGCAAGUACCACCGGGCCUCUCUGGGCACAGCCCAGACACUCGGUUGACGCUGACUCUUAGUAAUGUUCAAAGGGAUCCUUCAGACUCAUCUCCUGUUUCUUCUGCUAUCAUGGGGGAAAGGUUGGGCCCUGCAGGCUGAAAUUUUAGUAAGACUGUCACUUGCCUCCCACUGUCUUUCCUGCAAUGACUCUCCCCUUUAAUCCACACCCCCAAUCCUCUUGGUGUCACCAACUUCUCAUGCUUUCCGUGGGAUGACUCCUAAUACCACACUAAGAGCAAUGGAGAAGAGGUGUCUGGAGGCAUCAGUAACAGUAUCUCCAGCUCAGGUUAAUCCUGUUGAGGAAGAUGUAACAGGCCCCAGUGUCAGCACCCAGGCAGGUGUGAGCAGGCUGUUGAUAUCACAUCCUGACAUCAGACAGAGGCGGCCACGUAGGACAGCAGCUUCAGACUCAGGUUCCCAGUGGGCACUCAGCUGAGCAGCUCUGAGGAACCAGAGUGUCUUGCUGUGGAAGCCAAGACUUGGGAAUCCUUGCUCUCUAUCUCAAGGGUGCCUGAUAAGUGGCCUUUACGCAGCACCCGUCAAGGCUUCCAUCCAUCAAACGAGAGGCAAUGGCAGCUGAGGAGCUUACUAAUAGAAAUGCUUGUGAAGCUAGGGGCUAAGGUGUUUCAGAAUACUCUCAUGAUGAGACUUUAGAGAGAGUCUGUCUGAGGAAGAGAAAGGCUCUGCUGUUGAACACAAGGGCAGCAGCGUUGUCUCCGCGGGAGCACUGCCGUUCCCCCAGCCCCAGCCUUUGCUCUGCUUGUCACACACACACCACUGAAUGCACAAACUCAGCCCCCAGGGAAGUGUGGGUCAAGGAAGGGCAUUGGAUCCUCUUGGCCUUUUCCUCCUACUGCUGGCUGAGGUGGAGGAUACAGUGUGACAAGGGCAGAGAAGCAAGGCGGGAGGAACUUGUGUCCCUGACGAUGAGAAGUGAGACCACCCGCAUCCAUGCAGCUUAACCAGCAAGACUGAGAUCUAAGACCUCCUGUGUCAACAGGACUUACUAUUUGUCUAGGAAAUUCUUGUUCAGGAAGAUACGACUGUAAACCAAUAAACAGCCUCACUGUUUGCUUCAGGAAAUUCAUGAAAAAGAAUUUCUUCUAACAAAAGAUCCUUCUCAGGAUGAGAGAUGGCUCACUGGGGCAAACAGCUGGUUUAUCAAACAACCGUUCACUCAUCAAGAUUUGAAGCUUCAAGCCUUGUGUCCACCAGGCCUAAACUACUACAUCAUAGACUUGGCCCGGUGCUUCUUAGAUCCCAGCCGUGAGAGGCCUGCCUUGGACCCUUGAGCUGAGACCCCCGCAACCCUGAAAUACCCACCUGGCCCUGCCCCUUAUGACACACCAAGAGAGUCUCCGGACUGCCUCUGGUCAAGGCCACGCUCUCCCCUCCUGCAGUUGGCUUCAUCACCUUAGCUUUGGUUCGUUGGCAGGCUGUUCUGGUGGUAUUUGGGGAGUCAGCAGUUGACAGUGAUCAUGGAGGUGCCGUUCCAGCCCUGGACUCUAUUCUCAUGAGAGGGACAUAAACUGCUAUCUUGUCAAGGCAUUUUUAUUUUGAAGUUCUGGUCACUGGCAGCCACACCUGAUCCCGCCACACUUCUCCGCCUCCCCCUCCACGCCGUACUCAUCUUCACACCUCACACAGUGUCUGACACAUAAUAAGAGCCCCCUUGCACAUGUGUUAAAAGGUCAGGGACUGGAUCUUUUUAUUGAACUCUGCAGUAAGCUGCUCAGUAGAGUUUCUUAUAGUUUCUGGACACCUACCCCAAAAAACUGAUUUCAAAACAAUCAAACAGAUCAUGACCGAUACAUCUAAACGAGUGUUGUUUCCUUCAAAGUAUUCACCUGGGGAAUCUGUUCAUGUAUCUUAAGGAUACUGCUAUUGCUUGAGACAUUUUCAAAUACCUCUUUUGUAAUUAUGUCUUGAUUUGCUAUCCUCAGUGGUGACAAACCAUCUUUUUUGUGAAAAACAUUUUAUUAUGGAUAAUUUCAAACAUAUACAAAAGUAGAAUAAUAUUAUGAACAAUUGUCAACUUAGGACCAAUCUUUUUUCAUUUAGGCCCUUACGCCUACCUUUUUUCACCUGGAUUAUUUUGAAGCUAAUCCCAGACAUCACACCAUUUGACCCAAAAGGAUUUAAGCAUGUGUUCCUAAAAGAUAUGGCCUCCUUAAAAAACGUUAACCAUAAUACCAUUAUCCCACCUAAAAAUUCAUAAUAAUUUCUUAAUAUCAUAUGUUCAAUGUUUAAACUUCCCUGUUUCAUAAAAAUUUAUUUGUAAAAAUCAAGAUGAAAAUAAAUUCAUAUGGUGCAAUUGG